rnacentral:rRNA from 1 species
GAUGAACGCUGACAGAAUGCUUAACACAUGCAAGUCUACUUGAACUUCGGUUUGGGUGGCGGACGGGUGAGUAACGCGUAAAGAACUUGCCUCACAGUUAGGGACAACAUUUGGAAACGAAUGCUAAUACCUGAUAUUAUGGUUUUAGGGCAUCCUAAGAUUAUGAAAGCUAUAUGCGCUGUGAGAGAGCUUUGCGUCCCAUUAGCUAGUUGGAGAGGUAACGGCUCACCAAGGCGAUGAUGGGUAGCCGGCCUGAGAGGGUGAACGGCCACAAGGGGACUGAGACACGGCCCUUACUCCUACGGGAGGCAGCAGUGGGGAAUAUUGGACAAUGGACCAAAAGUCUGAUCCAGCAAUUCUGUGUGCACGAUGACGUUUUUCGGAAUGUAAAGUGCUUUCAGUUGGGAAGAAAAAAAUGACGGUACCAACAGAAGAAGUGACGGCUAAAUACGUGCCAGCCGCCGCCGUAACAC